rnacentral:lncRNA from 1 species
GCUUUGGGUCAUCUAAUAACCUGAAUCCCUGGGCUCCAGCAAGACAAGAUCAUCUCCGCUUUCCUAUGGGCUGAUGCAAAGUGAUGUCAAUGCCAUGGCUACACAGCCAUGCAACACCACCGUUCUCACAAGUGCAGGCACCAGAUCUGUGUAUGAGCUUAAAAGGACCUUGCAGCCCAUUCCAGUCACUAAGAUGACUACAGCCCUAAUGUGACCCCAACGGUCACAGUGGAAAGAACAACCACACUGCGGAACCCUACCAUGCUACCAAUUCAUAAAAUGAUUAUGUUCCAUCUCAUCUGGAGCUUGCCCAGGGUCUAAAGAUGCUGCAGGAUUUCUGUUUGACCUGUGCAUGCUGAAGGAGCUCAAUUGCUGGGAUGAUGAUAUGCGGGAGAGAAAGAAUCAGAAUAAAAACAAGAACGUUUUAAGGAAAUAGAAGUGAGGACAAGGAGGAUCUCUGUUAACAAGUAUGCAGAAGAAGCCCAGGAUUUGAGAUUCUCCCAUGUGAG